GCUGAAAUAGUUCAGUUGGUAGAGCAUGAGACACUCAAUCGCAGGGUUGUGGGUUUGAGCCCCAUGUUGGGCA